rnacentral:rRNA from 1 species
CACCGGCGGCUCGAGUGGUAACCGUUAUUAUUGGGUCUAAAGGGUCUGUAGCCGGCCGGAUAAGUCUCUUGAGAAAUCUGGCAGCUUAACUGUCAGGCUUUCAGGAGAUACUGUCUGGCUCGAGGCCGGGAGAGGUGAGAGGUACUUCAGGGGUAGGGGUGAAAUCUUGUAAUCCUUGAAGGACCACCAGUGGCGAAGGCGUCUCACCAGAACGGACCUGACGGCAAGGGACGAAAGCUAGGGGCACGAACCGGAUUAGAUACCCCUGUAGUCCCUGAGCGGGCU